UAAGGUUAUUAUCCAUUUAAUAGUUAAACGAGUUUAGUUAAUGUGAAAUUUAUCAAUGGACCAAUGGUAAGUUUCUUAUGUUUGAUAAAACAUUGUCUAUAUUCUCUUUUAUCAGCAUCAAAACUUUCAUACACAAACCAACAGCAUUUAACUUGCACAUUCAUCUUAAAUUAUUAAAAUAACAUUAUUGUAUUAUUUUAAUAGCUUAAUCAGUUGUCUAAUCCAUAGCUGUUUUUUACAGUUACUACCCUUUGAUAUAAAUAUGUCAUAAGUUUCCGUCUGCAGAUUUUAAAGGUCAUGUGUUUUUAAAGCCUUUUUCCUUUCUGUGUAUCGAUGUUUGGAUGCAGAGCAACUAUUUUGGCAAUGACAAUGUGUGCAUAAAGAUACCAUGAAGGCGUCCAUACAUGUUUUACAACAAAUGAAGGAACCAAUGUGAUGAGAGAAGUUUUGCUCACAGAAUAUAUUAUAAUGGUGUGAUAUUACAAUGCAUGACAUCCACACAUUUUAAAGGGAUCUUUUCACGCUUUGGUAAAUUGACAAAAUUGAAAAAAGUUGUUUCAGAUUCGCAAAUUUUCGUUUUAGUUAUGAUAUUUGUGAGGAAACAGUAAUACUGAACAUUUACCAUGGUCUAAUAUAGCCAUUAUAUGCAUCUUUUGACGAUUUUAAAACCUAAAAAUUAAAAAGCGUUGCAACGCGAAACGAUUGAAUAAUUUGGAGAGUUCUGUUUUUGUCGUUAAAUUUUGUGAAACUACGAAGAUUGCUUAUAUAAGGUAUAAAAUACUUCACGUAUAUGUACUCGGCGGAAUAGCUCAGUAGGCUAAAGCGUUUUUACGUCAGGACUCUGGCAGGACUCCAGGGGUCACUGGUUCGAAACCUGGUCCGGGCAAUGUUCUUUUCCUUUUUUUAAUUUUAUUCUUCAUUUUUUACUGGAGCUUAUACGAUCCAAUGUUUACAUUUAUCGAUAUAAAGCAUUUAAUGAAUAAGUUAAAAAAUGCCAAAAUCUGUGAAAAGGCCCCUUUAA